GCCUAAGCAACAGCAUGUUAAUGUCGAAUCCUCUGUCGAUCGCCCGUUUGGGACUUUUUUUGUGUAUCUUGGGCUUGGUGGGGGCGUGCAUGCCCAUUGGUGGAAGGUGCCAUGUCGGCAAGGUGUGCUGCUCUCGGCGCUGCCACUUCUACGCUCACAAGUGUGUCACCGAAAGAGAUGUCGCACAAUACGAAGAAUAAUGAUAGAUUUGAUUACAUUUGAUCACUAAAGCUAAAAAAUGAAAUAAAGUAUCGCAAAUCCGAA